rnacentral:rRNA from 1 species
AGCAGUCGCCGCGGUAAUACGUAGGUGGCAAGCGUUGUCCGGAUUUAUUGGGCGUAAAGCGAGCGCAGGCGGUUCCUUAAGUCUGAUGUGAAAGCCCCCGGCUCAACCGGGGAGGGUCAUUGGAAACUGGGGAACUUGAGUGCAGAAGAGGAGAGUGGAAUUCCAUGUGUAGCGGUGAAAUGCGUAGAUAUAUGGAGGAACACCGGUGGCGAAAGCGGCUCUCUGGCUUGUAACUGACGCUGAGGCUCGAAAGCGUGGGGAGCAAACAGGAUUAGAUACCCCCGUAGUCCCUGUCUCUUAUAC